rfam:Branchiostoma floridae genomic scaffold BRAFLscaffold_302, whole genome shotgun sequence.
UGCUACGGCUGUGUGGCACGUUGGAUUACCCAAUCCCUUAAUCUCGGAAGUUAAGCAACGCACAUUCUGGUCUGUUCUUAGGUGGGAGACCAACCAAGGACAACAGGAUGCUGUAGCCU